CACACACACACAAACAUACACACGUACACAUACACACAAACAGAGACAGGCAGACAGACGUGCGCAUGAAGUGAACUUGUUAAUGCUGUCUAUAAGCAGCAUUUACAUACAAGUUGACCCCACAUGUACACAUAAAUAUGUUUGUACUUUGUACAUACACACGUAUACAUACAUACAUAUGCAUAUAUGUGCAUGUUUAACUACGAUGUCCCGGCUGAAAAAGCAGUUCACGGGCCUUUUGCUCUUAAGAGAAUGGCCAGCCACAAGGCUUCGAAUGGACACACUUCAGCAAAUGUGAUUACUGUGUGCAUGUACACAUGCACAUACUUAUGCAUGUACAUAGGUAUUUAUUCCCCAACCUCACACCCAUCAACACACAGACAAUGGAAGCACCCUAUAAAUCUGUUGUUUAACAAUAUGAAGAAAGCAGCCGCUUAACAAUUUCCACUCGAUUUCAAUGGCAUUUUUGUGGAUAUAUUAAACUCAUUCCCAUUUCUAUUAAUUGAUGAGCAGUAAAAUAGUCCUGCGUGUCAUGUGAACUUCUGGCUCCUUACCUUGCUUGACCUACUUUUGGCCGUUCUCAGCUGAUUUUACUGGAAAGAUCUUGAGAAACCAGAACUACCAAAAAUCGGCAACUCCUAAUCAUAAACCAGAUACAUUUAAAUGGGUUAUUAGAAACCUUAAAAAAAAUAAUGGCUUUUAUUUAAUAUAUUUCGAAAUAAUAGUAGUAUUAUUUUCAUAGAGGCUUAUGUACAACUAGUCUAUUAAAGAUAACGAGAAUAAAAUAUUAUGUGUAAGUAAUUGUUAAUAAGAAUAAAAAAAAAGCGUAAUUAAGUUUAGUAAUACACAAAAAAACCCAAGUCAAGUAUGAAUCAAUAUGCU